GGGGGUACAGCUCAUUGGUACAGCGUGUGCUUAGCAUGCACGAGGUCCUGCAUUAAACCCCCAGUACCUCCA
rnacentral:tRNA from 1 species